CUCUUAGACAUGAAUCCUUGGGCACAUGGAGGGUAGUGAAGUUCUGUUUUACAUGAAUCAAAAAACCUCUCCUGCUAAGCCACUUUUCCUACAGGUGACUCUACGAUCUGAGACAAUGUGUACUUUUUGGAAGGACCUUCACAGCAUAUAAUCAUGGGUGACAGUAGGGAAAGAAGAUACUACCAUUGCUUAGCCAUCCCACCAACUCAUCCCAUUGUAUCUGUACACACAGCUUAACAGGCAAAACCCUCUCUGGCAAUGUCAUUCUUCCUGGCAAAGCAGGCGUGAGCAGAGAGGAAGAAUGCCAAUACCCUCUUGACCAUCAAGAUCUGCCAAAACCACUUUAGAGAAUAUUGGAAUAAAGUGCCUGAGAACAGAUCACCCAAGAAAAAAUUCCAGCUUUCAGAGAAAGGAGAUGCAGACGGCCUCCACUUCCAGAAUCCAUUAAAAGAGAGUUGCAGGCACUCACGGUUUCACCCUAACAGCAAAGAAACCUCCAUCUCAGAAGCAUUAAUCCGUCCCCAAGGAGAACCUAGGAAGGUGGCAGAAGUGUAGCUAUUAAUAUCGCAAUUUGUUUGCUACAAACAGCAGCCUCCAGGUGGAGAAAUAGCCUCUCAGCACAUUGAUUGACUAGAAGACACUGCUGAGAGCUGGCAUAUGACUGUUAACAAAUACAUUCCAUUGGUGGAGGAGUGUGUGGACUUCUGAGACCUACGCAAGAUAAGUCACGUGGAACAAAGACU
rnacentral:lncRNA from 1 species